AAAUAAAAAGGAGGAUAAAGACAAGUGUAAACGUCAAAUUGCCACGGUGCACCAAAAUGCUAACUGAAUCGCAUUAUAUUUUAGUUUUUUGUUAGUAUUACCAUUGUUGUUUAUCCUUAUUUGGUUUAUCAUUAGCACAAUAGUGUUACUUUAGCGUCCUAUCUCUUGAAAGGUAGACCAGCUCGGCUACACCAAAAGUAAAGGCCAUCUCUUGAAAAGAAGGUUCAUACACGCUCUCAAAACUUAAAGAUAGAUUAUUGCUGGCUCCACCGUCUAUCUCUCCAUAAAGUUAGAUUAGCAUCAGUCCUCACUAUCUAUGCACCUUCACUUAAUGCCUUUGUUUAGUAAGGUCGGAGAAGAAAGAUAAAGAUAACAUCAGAUAUAGAUCAAUUGACAUAUUUUUCCCAACCAUUCUCACUUGAAUCAUGAAUGACUAAGCUGAAAGUGCAAAAAAAAGAAAAGGAGCAAAAAGAAGCGACAAUGGCUACCGAAAUAAUGCAUUAUCAAAAUGAGAAUAUAGUACCAUAAGGUAAAACUCCUUGAGGUCGUCCAAGUGAAGCCAAAUUACAAUUUGCUCUUCUGCCAUCAAUAAUCGGAUUAGGAUUGGCACAAGCCCUCCAAGCUGCUUCAGGAUCAUGGAAUGUCACCUAAUUUCCAUAUUAAUUAAACAAAUUAGCAUUUCGCAAAUGAGAAAUGGUGAUCAGAAAAACUGAGCCGUUGAACAUUAUCAAGAAUGUAUGUUGUCACCAUAACGAAGCAAAUAGUUGGAAAGAGGACACAGAAGUUAUGAUCAGAUAUUAAUCCACCUACAUGGCCAUGAAUGAUCUUAAAAAAUUAAAGAGAAUGUAUUUUAGACUGCAAUUAUCAGGCAACUUGUUUCUUUCAACACAUAUAUCAUUCUUAAUUUUACAGUAUUAAUUAUUACUUUUACGUUCUACUCAAUUCCACACUAAAAUGGGGGCCAAGAAUGACAUUCUAUGCAUGAUUUCUUACAUCUAGCUAGAGACAAUCAUUAUCAGGAGGAUUGAAAGGUAGACCAGCUCGGCUACACCAAAAGUAAAGGCCAUCUCUUGAAAAGAAGGUUCAUACACGCUCUCAAAACUUAAAGAUAGAUUAUUGCUGGCUCCACCGUCUAUCUCUCCAUAAAGUUAGAUUAGCAUCAGUCCUCACUAUCUAUGCACCUUCACUUAAUGCCUUUGUUUAGUAAGGUCGGAGAAGAAAGAUAAAGAUAACAUCAGAUAUAGAUCAAUUGACAUAUUUUUCCCAACCAUUCUCACUUGAAUCAUGAAUGACUAAGCUGAAAGUGCAAAAAAAAGAAAAGGAGCAAAAAGAAGCGACAAUGGCUACCGAAAUAAUGCAUUAUCAAAAUGAGAAUAUAGUACCAUAAGGUAAAACUCCUUGAGGUCGUCCAAGUGAAGCCAAAUUACAAUUUGCUCUUCUGCCAUCAAUAAUCGGAUUAGGAUUGGCACAAGCCCUCCAAGCUGCUUCAGGA
rnacentral:lncRNA from 1 species